CCGUGAGGGAAAGAUGAAAAGAACUUUGAAAAGAGAGUUAAACAGUAUGUGAAAUUGUUAAAAGGGAACCGUUUGGAGCCAGACUGGCUUGUCUGUAAUCAAUCUAGGCUUCGGCCUGGAUGCACUUGCAGGCUAUGCCUGCCAACGACAAUUUGACUUGAGGGAAAAAACUAAGGGAAAUGUGGCCCACUUGUGGGUGUUAUAGUCCCUUAGAAAAUACCUUGGGUUGGAUUGAGGAACGCAGCGAAUGCUUUUUGGCGAGUUUUCCAGGAAGGUUUUCUGAGGUACUACGGUAUCAAGGUUGAUCUUUUUGGUUAUACUUCUAUUCGCUUAGGUUGUUGGCUUAAUGACUCUAAAUGACCC
rnacentral:rRNA from 1 species